UCAUCCAUCUCCGGGAUUCCCCAUCAGUCUUGCCACCUGGCCGGCAGGGUCCCGCAGAUUGUGGACAGCGUGGGACCAGCGAGGGGCAGCGUGGGACCGGCGAGGGGCCCCUUACCUCCAGGCUGCGCGGGAUGGAGGAGGUUGAGCAAGAGGAUCAGCAAGACGCCAGGCUGCGGGACUACCGCUGUCAGACCCGCCAUCUCGGGGAGGACUGCCCCAGCCUGCUCUCUGCGCCUCGUUUUAUCCCCAAAGCGUAAUUGCUGCCUGGACCCUUCAGAAGAACAGAAACAUGGAUCGAGUACACAUUAAAGGGGAAUUUAUUAGACUGGCCUACAUGAUAUGGUUGGAGUUCUCAAGCCAUGACUGCCUCAUACCACAGAGAUGCAGAACCUGGUGUUGCUCAGUCCAAGAGACUGGAGGUUUCAACAGACCCAAUCUGGGACCAAAGGCCUGGAGGAUAGAGAUCUGCCUGCCUCUGCCUUCCUAGUGAUUGGGGUUAAAGACAUAUGCCACCAUAGCCAACCCCAAACCUUUUUUUAAAGAAAAGACUUAUUUUAAUUUGAUUGAAUACCUAUACUAGCAUAAAUGUACAUAUGCGAGUAUAAGUAUUCACCAAAAUUAGAGGGAGGUAUGGAUCCCUGCGAGUACAGAUAAGCAUCUUGAGCUGCCUCGGGUAGAAUUGGAAUUGGAACUUGACCUCUCUGAUAGAGCACGUGGAUGAUGGCUUCCCUAUGCCCACAUGGAUGGGAGCCCUCUUCAGUGAACUCCCCUAGUCAUACACUCUAGCACCUUCCUAGACAUCAAAGCCAUAGGCAAUUGGCAGAAUUGCAUACAAAUGGCGGGGAGGAGCCACUGGAAACUCAGAAAAAGUUCUCAUGUGCUCCGCAAAAUGUCCCAUAAAAGGCAGAGAUUAUCAGAUGGAUAAGAGAAUGAGCCCCAGAUACGCUGCCUACAAGAAACCAAUAAUUUAUGUGAUGACACAAAUAAGUUAAAAGUGAAUGACAAAGGCUGGCGAGAUGGCUCAGCAGACAUGGGGAAUCGAACUCAGAUCAUCAGUCAAGCUUGGCCACAAGUCCCUUACUGAGCAGCAGAGCUGUCUCCCUGGCCCACCGAAACAUCUGUUGUAGACGAAUUGAUUUGAUCUUGAAAUAAUCAGUCUAAAAUUGCUGCCAGCCAAGUGAGCUGACAUCAUUCAUUCUUGUGUCAAUUCACCAAUCUUGAAUUUAAAGGACCAUCACAUCAAUUAAAACGUAAUCUUAGAUUAAUCAAGAUCAACAAAGGAUUCUUUGGAUUUUUCUUUUAAGCUCUGUAACCGGCUUAGAGAGCGCGCCUGGGUAUGAUUAAAACCUCGCGUAGACUGAUUCAUCUCAGAAAAAAUGUGCAAAACAAUGUUUGUUGUAUUAAGAAAAAUAUUCAAUUUCAAUAUUAAAUGUUAAGCCUGC
rnacentral:lncRNA from 1 species